GACGAACGCUGGCGGCGUGCUUAACACAUGCAAGUCGAACGGAAAGGCCCUGCUUUUGUGGGGUGCUCGAGUGGCGAACGGGUGAGUAACACGUGAGUAACCUGCCCUUGACUUUGGGAUAACUUCAGGAAACUGGGGCUAAUACCGGAUAGGAGCUCCUGCUGCAUGGUGGGGGUUGGAAAGUUUCGGCGGUUGGGGAUGGACUCGCGGCUUAUCAGCUUGUUGGUGGGGUAGUGGCUUACCAAGGCUUUGACGGGUAGCCGGCCUGAGAGGGUGACCGGCCACAUUGGGACUGAGAUACGGCCCAGACUCAUACGGGAGGCAGCAGUGGGGAAUAUUGCACAAUGGGCGGAAGCCUGAUGCAGAAACGCCGCGUGCGGGAUGACGGCCUUCGGGUUGUAAACCGAUUUCGCCUGUGACGAAGCGUGAGUGACGGUAAUGGGUAAAGAAGCACCGGCUAACUACGUG
rnacentral:rRNA from 1 species